rnacentral:sRNA from 1 species
GUCGUGAGAUGUUGGGUUAAGUCCCGCAACGAGCGCAACCCUUGUCUCAUGUUGCCAGCACGUCAUGGUGGGGACUCGUGAGAGACUGCCGGGGUCAACUCGGAGGAAGGUGGGGAUGACGUCAAGUCAUCAUGCCCCUUAUGUCCAGGGCUUCACACAUGCUACAAUGGCCGGUACAAAGGGCUGCGAUGCCGUGAGGUGGAGCGAAUCCUUUCAAAGCCGGUCUCAGUUCGGAUCGGGGUCUGCAACUCGACCCCGUGAAGUCGGAGUCGCUAGUAAUCGCAGAUCAGCAACGCUGCGGUGAAUACGUUCCCGGGCCUUGUACACACCGCCCGUCACGUCAUGAAAGUCGGUAACACCCGAAGCCGGUGGCCUAACCCCUCGUGGGAGGGAGCCGUCGAAGGUGGGAUCGGCGAUUGGGACGAAGUCGUAACAAGGUGGCCGUACCGGAAGGUGCGGCUGGAUCACCUCCUUUCUAAGGAGCACCACGAGAUUCAGGCCCGCCCACAUCGUGUGGGGGUUCGGAGUUCUGAACGAUUCGUUGGAUGGCCUCACACCUGUAGUGGGUGGGGGUCUGGUGCACAUGACGAACUCAAAAAACGCCGGCGCCGUCUCCCCUUCGGGGGGGUGGUGUUCGGUGGGCUGCCAAGCACACUGUUGGGCUUUGAGACAACAGGCCCGUUGUUCCCUGGCCACCGUGUGUGGUGGGAGGCGUGUUGUUGCCCCAGGUUUUGGUGGUGGGGUGUGGUGUUUGAUUCGUGGAUAGUGGUUGCGAGCAUCAACUCGCGGCAGUCGAGGUUCCCUUCCUUUCGGGGGUGGGGGCUGAGGUCGUCGUGGGUUGUUGUGGUGUAAUUUCGAUUUGAAACAAUUGGUUUUUGUGUUGUAAGUGUUUAAGGGCGCAUGGUGGAUGCCUUGGCAUCAGAGGCCGAUGAAGGACGUAGGAGGCUGCGAUAUGCCUCAGGGAGCUGUCAACCGAGCGUUGAUCCGAGGAUGU